ACAGCAGUAGCCGCGGGAAAACGGAGGGAGCUAGCGUUGUUCGGAAUUACUGGGCGUAAAGCGCACGUAGGCGGCUUUGCAAGUUAGAGGUGAAAGCCCGGGGCUCAACUCCGGAACUGCCUUUAAGACUGCAUCGCUUGAAUCAUGGAGAGGCGGGUGGAAUUCCGAGUGUAGAGGUGAAAUUCGUAGAUAUUCGGAAGAACACCAGUGGCGAAGGCGGCCCGCUGGACAUGUAUUGACGCUGAGGUGCGAAAGCGUGGGGAGCAAACAGGAUUAGAUACCCCCGUAGUCCCUGUCUCUUAUAA
rnacentral:rRNA from 1 species